rnacentral:rRNA from 1 species
UACGUAGGGGGGCAAGCGUUGUCCGGAAUUAUUGGGCGUAAAGAGCUCGUAGGCGGUUUGUCGCGUCGAAUGUGAAAACCCGGGGCUCAACCCCCGGGCCUGCAUUCGAUACGGGCAGACUAGAGUUCGGUAGGGGAGUCUGGAAUUCCUGGUGUAGCGGUGAAAUGCGCAGAUAUCAGGAGGAACACCGGUGGCGAAGGCGGGACUCUGGGCCGAUACUGACGCUGAGGAGCGAAAGCGUGGGGAGCAAACAGG